AUGAAUCACGUUAAUGCCGUCUGUCCUACGCUGAAACACAGUGUGUAUUACAGCAAAUUGGUUACUGCUUCAGAAGGGUUUUUCUUUGUUUGUUUGUUUCGGAAACAGGAUGUUGUCAUCGGUGAUAACAACCGAAGUCUGUUUUUCCCUUCUUCUGUGGACCUAGGUACCUUCCCCUCCCCCAUUAAUUCUUUUGGAAAUGGAAGAAAUAAUGACGACGUUUCCUUAGAUGUGCAUUCUACCCCAAAUUUUGAAGCUGGGAUCCAUGAAUCUGGCCAUUUACUUUCAUGUGAUCAGGCCUUAAGAUUACUGCCUUUGUCCUACAAAACUGCAACAACCCAGACUGUGGGGCAGGCUCAAAAGCUUACUAUGAUCUUCACAGAGAAGACGGAAAAUGAACGCACGCUCCACUGGAUCUCACUGGGUGACGCAUGGCCCUGACACCACUCAAGAAGGCAGCGUUAACAGUACUGGUAAGCAGAAUGAUUUCUGUAUUCCUAGACCAGUAGAAAUAACCGAGGCUGCCUCUGUUUGUUAGGAAGAACAUACAUUCCUACAACUCAAUUUGGACACCAGAAAUUAAAGUUUGGUUUCUAAAACAAAUGUUUCACAAAGCUGAAACGGAGGUAGAAAGUGUGCUUGGUUUCCUGAUGUCUUCACUGAAGAAAACACAUCCCUUUUACUCCACAGGCUGCUCAGUAUCCCUAAUGCCUUAAAAGCAGUUCUCUUCACAUAGACGGAAUUUAUCAAGAACUACACAGGUAAAAACACUAUAUGCAAACUGAUUUCUAAUGCUGAAAGCCUUAUACAACUGUAGAAGAAAAUACUCUACUCUCUGAGUUCAUUUCUUAACAUCUGUUUCUAGGAAGCAAGCUUUUUUAUCAGGUAAAACAAUAAGAUACUGUAACUGCAGGUGUACUAACAGGAUCUUUAUGUACAGAAUUUUACAAGAUGACCUAAAUUCAUCUGCAGUGGAAACACUUCAGACUUCAGUGUGAUUACUCCCGAGAUGAAUUGGGCCCUAAGUCUCUAUAGCAGGGCUGCACCUCCCCUUCCUCUUCUGGAGGAAGGAGUAAAAACAGAACAGGAAAAGAAUG
rnacentral:lncRNA from 1 species